rnacentral:rRNA from 1 species
UACGGAGGGAGCUAGCGUUGUUCGGAAUUACUGGGCGUAAAGCGCGCGUAGGCGGCUUUGUAAGUUAGAGGUGAAAGCCCGGGGCUCAACCCCGGAACUGCCUUUAAAACUGCAUCGCUUGAAUCCGGGAGAGGUGAGUGGAAUUCCGAGUGUAGAGGUGAAAUUCGUAAAUAUUCGGAAGAACACCAGUGGCGAAGGCGGCUCACUGGACCGGCAUUGACGCUGAGGUGCGAAAGCGUGGGGAGCAAACAGG